AGCAGCCGCCGCGGUAAUACGUAGGGUGCAAGCGUUAAUCGGAAUUACUGGGCGUAAAGCGUGCGCAGGCGGUUAUAUAAGACAGAUGUGAAAUCCCCGGGCUCAACCUGGGAACUGCAUUUGUGACUGUAUAGCUAGAGUACGGCAGAGGGGGAUGGAAUUCCGCGUGUAGCAGUGAAAUGCGUAGAUAUGCGGAGGAACACCGAUGGCGAAGGCAAUCCCCUGGGCCUGUACUGACGCUCAUGCACGAAAGCGUGGGGAGCAAACAGGAUUAGAUACCCGCGUAGUCCCUGUCUCUUAUAC
rnacentral:rRNA from 1 species